AGCUUUGCACGGUGGCAGUAUUGUAGCCAAUGAGAGUUAUCCAAGGUACAAUUAUUGCUAAUUAAAAUUUUGACAUGUUGGAAUUUAAGUUAAUAUUUAUGUUUACAGAUAUGCGUUGUCUG
rnacentral:snRNA from 1 species